UUCCGGUUGAUCCCGCCGGAGGCGACCGCUUUGGGAGUUCGAUUAAGCCAUGCGAGUCGUGAGUCUUAGGGACUCGGCAUACUGCUCAGUAACACGUGGAUAACCUGCCCUAUCGUCUGGAAUAACCUCGGGAAACUGAGAAUAAGGCCGGAUAGUUCACAAUGCCUGGAACGGUUUGUGAAUCAAGGUAGGAUGGGUCUGCGGCGUAUCAGGUUGUAGGGGGUGUAAAGGACCCCCUAGCCUUCGACGCGUACGGGUGUUGGGAGACAUAGCCCGGAGAUGGAUUCUGAGACACGAAUCCAGACCCUACGGGGUGCAGCAGGCGCGAAAACUUCACACUGCAGGAAACUGUGAUGAGGGAACUCCUAGUGCAUGCACUAUGUGUAUGUAGAUCCUACUCUUAACAAGUAGAGGGAAAGGGCUGGGAAAGACCGGUGCCAGCCGCCGCGGUAAUACCGGCAGCUCAAGUGGUCGUCGCUUUUAUUGGGCCUAAAACGUCCGUAGCCUGUUUGGUAAAUCUGUGGGUAAAUCAAUCCGCUCAACGGAUUGAAUUCUGCAGAGACUGCCAGACUAGGGACCGGGAGAGGUGUGGGGUACUCGAGGGGUAGGGGUAAAAUCCUGUCAUCCUUCGAGGACCACCAGUUGCGAAGGCGCCACACUGGAACGGAUCCGACGGUCAGGGACGAAGCCUAGGGGCACGAACCGGAUUAGAUACCCGGGUAGUCCUAUGUGUAAACGCUGUGAACUUGGUGUCGGGGGUCCGCAAGGGGUCCCCGGUGCCGGAGUGAAGAUGUUAAGUUCACUGCCUGGGGAGUACGGUCGCAAGGCUGAAACUUAAAGGAAUUGGCGGGCAGCAC
rnacentral:rRNA from 1 species